AGAAGGAUGAUGAAGAAAAAGAUGAGAAGGAAGAGUCUAAAGAAACAACCAAGGAAAAGGAUAGAACAGAAGCCACAGCAGAAGAAACUGAGGAGAGAGAGCAGGUCACUCCAAGGGGGCGAAAGACUGCUAACAGCCAAGGGCGUCGGAAGGGCCGGAUCACCAGGUCCAUGACAAGUGAAGCUGCAGCUGCCAGUGCUGCUGCUGCAGCCACUGAGGAGCCCCCUCCACCGCUGCCACCACCCCCAGAGCCCGUUUCUACAGAACCAGUUGAGACUUCAAGAUGGACGGAAGAAGAAAUGGAAGUUGCUAAAAAAGG
rnacentral:lncRNA from 1 species